UACGUAGGGGGCUAGCGUUGUCCGGAUUUAUUGGGCGUAAAGAGCGUGUAGGCGGCCAGGUAGGUCUGCUGUGAAAACUCGAGGCUUAACCUCGAGAUGUCGGCGGAAACCAUCUGGCUAGAGUCCGGAAGAGGAGAGUGGAAUUCCUGGUGUAGCGGUGAAAUGCGCAGAUAUCAGGAAGAACACCCGUGGCGAAGGCGGCUCUCUGGGACGGUACUGACGCUGAGACGCGAAAGCGUGGGGAGCGAACAGG
rnacentral:rRNA from 1 species